rnacentral:rRNA from 1 species
GACGAACGCUGGCGGCGUGCUUAACACAUGCAAGUCGAACGGAAAGGCCCUGCUUUUGUGGGGUGCUCGAGUGGCGAACGGGUGAGUAACACGUGAGUAACCUGCCCUUGACUUUGGGAUAACUUCAGGAAACUGGGGCUAAUACCGGAUAGGAGCUCCUGCUGCAUGGUGGGGGUUGGAAAGUUUCGGCGGUUGGGGAUGGACUCGCGGCUUAUCAGCUUGUUGGUGGGGUAGUGGCUUACCAAGGCUUUGACGGGUAGCCGGCCUGAGAGGGUGACCGGCCCCAUGGGGACUGGGAUACGGCCCAGACUCCGACGGGGGGCAGGGGGGGGAAAUAUUGCAAAAUGGGGGGAGGCCUGAGGCAGAAACGCCGGGGGGGGGAGGGCGGCCUUCGGGUUGUAAACCGUUUUCGCCUGGGACGAAGGGUGGGUGACGGUAAUGGGUAAAGAAGCACCGGCUAACUACGG